rnacentral:lncRNA from 1 species
AGUGAUAAAGUAAAUGUUGAACAGAUAAAAGAUAUUAUCUAACUUAAGUUGCUAAUGGCUGAAGGAUAGCAAAAGGUAAUAAGAAAGUUACUAAAGUGGCAGCUAGGAUUUAUAGUGGCGGCUAAGUUAAGUGGCGAUUAGGGUUUAUAGUGGUAGCUAGGUCAAGUGGUGGCUAGAGUUUAUAGUAGUAGUUAGUUUAAGUG